rnacentral:lncRNA from 1 species
UUUUAAGAAAGCCCAAGAGUAAGCUAUGUGAGGUUGAUGGCGAUGCUCAAAAAGCAAUCGACUUACAAGGGUGUGAAAAUGGGCUCGACAUUGAAUCGAGGAAUAUGAUUUUAAUAGUUUUAAAAUGGUUUUGAAUGAAUGAUGAAAUUAAUAAAGAACAGAUUUUGUGUUAUUAAAUAACAAUGAAACCAUGAGUAUAAUAAAACAUAAACAUAAAAAAUGCUAAAAGAAAUAAAAUGCUAAAAGAAAAAAAAAUGCUAAAGGAAAAAAAAUGCUACAUAUGAGUAUUGAACCCUCUCCACUUAAGAUCAU